GUAUAUUUCAAGGAUCAUCGUUGCUAGAUUACAUAUGAGUUAUGUUUCCUUUUGCGGGAGACCACCAAACUGUCUUCAGAAGUCGUUGUACUAAUUUGCUUUUCCACCAAGAAUAAACGGAGAGUUCUUGCCUCUCACGCUUGCCGGUGUGUGGUGUUGUGUUCCGAACGUUGACUGUGCCGUUCUGUGUGUGGUGGCAUCUCAUUGUUUUCGUUUGCAAUUUCCCAACUACAUUUGGCCCUGGGCGUCUUUUCGUGUGCUGCUCGUUUGCCAUCUGUCUGGUGCAGCAUCUCGUCAGCUCUUUUGCUCAUUUUUUAAUUGAGUCAGUUGUCUCCCUGUUGCGUUUUGAAAGGCUUUUACAGCAGCCUGUUAUCAGAUAUGUCUUGCAUUAAUUUCUUUCUCCAGUAAGGCUUGUCCUUGCAUAUUUAGAAAAGCUAUUAUUUUUAUCACCCUGCUUAGCUCUUACCAAAUUAUUAGCAUUGCUGUUCUAGAAGACCACAUCCCCUGAGUUUUCACUACUGGAAUGGCAGUAAAUCCUGUUGUCUUCUUUGCUGAUUUUCCCUUUUGUCUUCUGGCAUCGACUUGCAAGCGCCUAUCUGCUUUUUUUGACACAGUUCAUAUUCAUUCAGUAAACACUUCCGUGAGCGUCUGCAGUAGGUGAGCCCUGCACUGGACAGGAGAGACAAGAGUGGAGGGCAGGCAUAGACCCACGGCGCAUCCUGUACGGGGCAUGGAAGCACAGAAUGAGAGCACGAGCCAGCCUUGACUCCCUGAACGUCGUGGGAGCCGUGGACCACAGACUGACACCUCUGAAACCAGGAGCCAAACGAAAUAGGCCUCUCUUCCUCCUCGGGUCUGGUGUGUUGUCACAGUGAGGGACAAUUACUCUUAGAAACCAUUUAAAUACAGACAAAAGUUCUACAUAGAAUGCUAAGAAGACCGCGUCCACACUGUGUUACUGCCACACGCACAGAUGGAGGGACUUCUAGAGAAUCUGACACUACGAAUCUCUGGCGUUUAGUGCUGGCAAUAUUAUACAAUUAGCCACCUGAGGUAGCAUCCUGAGCCAUUUUAAAUGCGUAAAGAAUUCGAGGAGCGACAGAAACUCCAGGGAGGUCUUCAAAUCAUCUCAGAGCAGCAAGACUGUUCGGUGAUUGCCAUUUUAGAAGCAGACACCUCCCCGUUGUGUUGCAUCUUACAUGGACAAUGUGUGAACAGAGAGGGGUUGUUCUCAUGAUUAAUUUCAUGUCACCAUGACUGGGCCAUGGACGCCCAGAUAGUUCAUCAAACGUUAUUAUAAAAGUUUCUCAGAGGGCAUCUUGUGAGAUUAACAUUUAAAUCGGUGAACUUGAGUAAAACAGAUUCUCCUCCUUCACGUGAGGCCUUAACCAAAGCCGAAUAGAAUAGUUUGAUAGCUUGAAUAGUUUGAAUAGUUUGGUUCUAAUCAGAUUCUCUCCCAAGAAAGAGUGGGUCCUCAGCAGCCUGCCCUCAGGCUUCAUCUGCAACAUUGCCUUCACCCUCUGGGAUUCUUAGCCAGGUGUGUGGGCAUCUCAGGUACAUUAGCAAGGUUAUCUCUACGGAGAGUGACAGGAUGACAGUGUAAGUCUCCACAGCGCAGCUAAGAUUGAUAACCUCCGUAUUCAUCUUCAUGUUCCGCUUUCUCCUAACUGAACUUCCCUGUGUAACUGAAAAAUAUACUCGGUCUGCAAGGUUAGGACCCAGUUCAACAAUAGUGAAAUCAUUAUGACAAAUGCCUGUGCCUGGACUUGAAUUGCCAAAGUCGCUGUCCCUUAAGGCACCUUGACUAACACACCUUAGCCUCUGAAAAAUGCAAUAAAAUCUUAAAGCUUCUUUGUAAAAUAUUUAUUUUCUUCAGAUGUGUUAGCGGACUCAAUUAGCAUUGGUUGGGUUCUUUAAAAGUUACUCAUACCAAGGAAGGACUACAAAAGUGACAGAGGAAAAAGGUGUGUAUUUA